AUUGAACGCUGGCGGCAGGCCUAACACAUGCAAGUCGAACGAGUGGCGGACGGGUGAGUAAUGCUUGGGAAUCUAGCUUAUGGAGGGGGAUCACUACGGGAAACUGUAGCUAAUACCGCGUACAAUAGGAUGAGCCCAAGUGGGAAUGGGUAGUGGUUGAGGUAAAGUCUCACCAAGCCGACGAUCUCUAGCUGGUCUGAGAGGAUGACCAGCAACACUGGAACUGAGACACGGCCCAGACUCCUACGGGAGGAAGCAGUGGGGAAUAUUGCGCAAUGGGGGCAAGCUGAUGCAGCCAUGCCGCGUGAGUGAAGAAGGCCUUCGGGUUGUAAAGUACUUUCAGUAGCGAGGCGUUACCUACAGAAGAAGCACCGGCUAACUCCGUGCCAGCAGCCGCGGUAAUUC
rnacentral:rRNA from 1 species